rnacentral:rRNA from 1 species
CCUACGGGUGGCAGCAGUGAGGAAUAUUGGUCAAUGGUCGGGAGACUGAACCAGCCAAGCCGCGUGAGGGAUGAAGGUACAGAGUAUCGUAAACCUCUUUUAUCAGGGAACAAAGACUUGGACGUGUCCCCGGAUGCGUGUACCUGAAGAAAAAGCAUCGGCUGACUCCGUGCCAGCAGCCGCGGUAAUACGGAGGAUGCGAGCGUUAUCCGGAUUUAUUGGGUUUAAAGGGUGCGCAGGCGGUCUGUUAAGUCAGCUGUCAAAGGCUGGGGCUCAACCCCGGCCUUGCAGGGGAAACUGGCAGUCUUGAGUUCGAGAGAGGUAGGCGGAAUGCGCGGUGUAGCGGUGAAAUGCGUAGAUAUGGCGAAGAACUCCGAUGGCGAAGGCAGCACGCUGGCUCGACACUGACGCUGAGGCUCGAAAGCGUGGGUAUCGAACAGGAUUAGAUACCCGGGUAGUC